rnacentral:lncRNA from 1 species
CCACUUUUUCUGGGAGGCAGCUAGCAAAUGGAGAAUGUGUUACUAUGUUACCCCAAGAAAGGAACAAAACAACACUAAAACACAACACAAAGAAAGCAAAUUUUAAUCAGUUGAACCACAAGAUAAUCGAUGCAAGACUAAACAAAGUUUAAACGGUAAGCAUAAAAAAAAACCACGCACCUGGGAUGCCGCAAGAGAGAAAAAUGAGAGGAGGAAGACGAUAAAGUUAUCAGAAACAACAAUGGAAUGCCCCAAGAGAGAAAAAGAAGACAUGCUGCAAGCGAGAAAAAGAAGAGAUAUCGUAAGAGAAAAAGGAGAAGAGGAAGACGAUAUCAGAAGUUGAAUGCCGCA